UUGGUCAUUUCAAUUUCUGUACAAAUAGUAGUAAAUAAUGUAGAACUCGCACUAUGUCUUAUCUCUAGACUUAAACCUCCAAUUCGAUUUGGAAAUUGAAGGAAUUUUUAUUCCAUUGCAAAAAGCAGAAUAGAAAUUGGGGCCAAGGACGGGGGCUACGGGGCUACCUACAAUUCAUAUUAUUCUUGACUCUUGAGAUCACUUAGCAUCAAAUGGACAAACCAUCCACCCCAUAUGGCUGUGCCAUCACAUCGAGCCAAAUAGUUUAGGUGCAUAUAUAAUAUCAAAAUAGUCAAGCCAAGAACGUGCUCAUACUCUACUCAUAAAGGAUUGGACUUGUCAAGUUGCAGCUCUCGAGUCAUUUUCAGCUCUAGAAUCAUAAACAAGGUUGCAAGUUGCAACUGGAUAUGUAUUUACUCUUUCGUUUUCCAUGUUAAAUCCUCUAUAGCUUUGGAAAUACUAGUAAUUCUUACAGUCACAAGAACUUGUAAGCCUGAAUCAUGGAAGACAGAACCACAAGUUCUCCAUCAAUCCAGUAAGAUAAU